rnacentral:rRNA from 1 species
AACGAACGCUGGCGGCAUGCCUAACACAUGCAAGUCGAACGAGACCUUCGGGUUUAGUGGCGCACUGGUGCGUAACGCGUGGGAACCUGCCCUUAGGUUCGGAAUAACUCCCCGAAAGGGGUGCUAAUACCGGAUAAUGUCUUCGGACCAAAGAUUUAUCGCCUUUGGAUGGGCCUGCGUUGGCUUAGCUAGUUGGUAGGGUAAAAGCCUACCAAGGCGACGAUCCAUAGCUGGUUUGAGAGGAUGAGCAGCCACACUGGGACUGAGACACGGCCCAGACUCCUACGGGAGGCAGCAGUGGGGAAUAUUGGACAACGGGCGAAAGCCUGAUCCAGCAAUGCCGCGUGAGUGAUGAAGGCCUUAGGGUUGUAAAGCUCUUUUACCCGGGAUGAUAAUGACGGUACCGGGAGAAUAAGCACCGGCUAACUCCGUG